UGGUAAUGCCGGAUGCUCCGGUUGGAUGCAUGUCCUUCCGGGAAAGAUUCUAUCGGUAUGGGAUGGGGUCGCGUCCUAUCAGCUUGAUGGCGGGGUAACGGCCCACCAUGGCUUCGACGGGUAGCCGGCCUGAGAGGGCGACCGGCCACAUUGGGACUGAGAUACGGCCCAGACUCCUACGGGAGGCAGCAGUGGGGAAUAUUGCACAAUGGGCGCAAGCCUGAUGCAGCGACGCCGCGUGCGGGAUGGAGGCCUUCGGGUUGUAAACCGCUUUUGAUCGGGAGCAAGCCCUUCGGGGUGAGUGUACCUUUCGAAUAAGCACCGGCUAACUACGUGCCAGCAGCCGCGGUAAUACGUAGGGUGCAAGCGUUAUCCGGAAUUAUUGGGCGUAAAGGGCUCGUAGGCGGUUCGUCGCGUCCGGUGUGAAAGCCCAUCGCUUAACGGUGGGUCUGCGCCGGGUACGGGCGGGCUGGAGUGCGGUAGGGGAGACUGGAAUUCCCGGUGUAACGGUGGAAUGUGUAGAUAUCG
rnacentral:rRNA from 1 species